rnacentral:rRNA from 1 species
CCUACGGGGGGCAGCAGUGAGGAAUAUUGGUCAAUGGACGAGAGUCUGAACCAGCCAAGUAGCGUGAAGGAUGACUGCCCUAUGGGUUGUAAACUUCUUUUAUAUGGGAAUAAAAUGUUCCACGUGUGGGAUUUUGUAUGUACCAUAUGAAUAAGGAUCGGCUAACUCCGUGCCAGCAGCCGCGGUAAUACGGAGGAUCCGAGCGUUAUCCGGAUUUAUUGGGUUUAAAGGGGGCGUAGGUGGAUUGUUAAGUCAGUUGUGAAAGUUUGCGGCUCAACCGUAAAAUUGCAGUUGAAACUGGCAGUCUUGAGUACAGUAGAGGUGGGCGGAAUUCGUGGUGUAGCGGUGAAAUGCUUAGAUAUCACGAAGAACUCCGAUUGCGAAGGCAGUUCACUGGACUGCAAUUGACACUGAGGCUCGAAAGUGUGGGUAUCAAACAGGAUUAGAUACCCGAGUAGUC